AUUGUCUGCCCGAUUUCGUUUUAACUUUCACCAAUCUGCUUUUCUGAUUUUCCGCUUUGUUUCAGAAUAAUUUGCUAUUAAGGUUAGAUUUUCCUUUAAUGCGAUUUACAAGAAGUCUCUAGGAUGGAGUUUUCCUGUCUGUUCCUAAAUUUCCCGCAUUAAUAAAUCCAGAAUGAAUCAAUCGAAGAGAAUAAAAUAAAAAGACAGAGUUAACCUUUAUGUGGUGGGACAAAGAAUAAAGGAGAAA